AUUGAACGCUGGCGGCAUGCCUUACACAUGCAAGUCGAACGGUAACAGGCCGCAAGGUGCUGACGAGUGGCGAACGGGUGAGUAAUGCAUCGGAACGUGCCCAGUCGUGGGGGAUAACUGCUCGAAAGAGCAGCUAAUACCGCAUACGACCUGAGGGUGAAAGCGGGGGACCGUAAGGCCUCGCGCGAUUGGAGCGGCCGAUGUCAGAUUAGCUAGUUGGUGGGGUAAAGGCCUACCAAGGCAACGAUCUGUAGUUGGUCUGAGAGGACGACCAGCCACACUGGGACUGGGACACGGCCCAGACUCCUACGGGAGGCAGCAGUGGGGAAUUUUGGACAAUGGGCGCAAGCCUGAUCCAGCAAUGCCGCGUGCAGGAAGAAGGCCUUCGGGUUGUAAACUGCUUUUGUCAGGGAAGAAAUCCUCUGGGUUAAUACCUCGGGGGGAUGACGGUACCUGAAGAAUAAGCACCGGCUAACUACGUGCCAGCAGCCGCCGUAAUAC
rnacentral:rRNA from 1 species